UACGGCCACAUCACAUUCAAACACCGGUUCUCUAUACAAUCACUAAAGUUAAACGACAUUGAACCUAGUCAGUACUUAGAUGGGUGACCACUUGGGAAUACCAGGUACUGUAA